AUCUCCGAUCCCUUUCCUAAACCCUAUUACCUUUAAUUAAUAGAUCUCUACUUUAGAUCUUCAAUCUCCUCUCCCGUUCAUCAUCAUCAUCAAUCCUAAUCGGAUCUCUCCCGUUGCAUUAAUCAAAGCUAUCAUUGGACCUCUAAUACGUUCGUAUCUCCUAAUCGGAUCUCUCAACUGUAAGACUACGAUUAUACUAAUCGACGAUGAACAACUAUCGGUUUUUCUAAUGAUUUCAUCCAUUGGCAUUAUAGAUGAAAUCUCGGAAUUUAGGGUUUCAAAUCCUAAUCCUGCCAUUUCAUAAACAAUCGGUUGUUCGAUUUAGACUCGUUUUUGGUUGGUUUUGUUUCAACCCUAGGUCAAUUACCAAACAAACUCGUCUUUCUACUAGAAAGCCCAAAACAGUGGAAUUCUACGGAGUUCGCCCAACGGCAAUAGACGGCGACGCACUUCCGCUUAUAGAAGAGUUUCUAUCCGGAAUUCAAGGGUUUCUUUCUGUCAGAUUUGAAAAAUGACAGUUAAGGCCUUGAAGGCAAGUGAUUGACACUUUAUCUUGAAGGUGCUUUUGAUGUAUUUUACAGCCACCCACAGGUUAGAUCGUAUGCAUAUUCUAGACAUGUGGAAGAACUAUACAAAAGAUACAAAGGCAAGUUUAUGUUUCAUGCCUUUUAUCCAUUUGCUCGAAAAUGUUCAAAUUAUCGAGUGUUUACAUUGUGGAUGCACCAUUUGAGACUGUUUCAGCAAUAGAAAGUUGAUACUAUGCAUAUCACAUGUUUGAGAAAAUGCUAUGUGACUAACCUGUGUUAUUACUUAUUAAGAAUGGUUUGUACACGUAUCUUGAGAAAAUUAAGAAAUGGGUUUUCAUUCUUAUAUUUAGACUAAUAUUGUAUGUAGAUUCUUAUUAAAUUAUUAAACCAGGUGAAACUC